AGUGAGUAAUACAUCGGAACGUGCCCAAUCGUGGGGGAUAACGCAGCGAAAGCUGUGCUAAUACCGCAUAAGAUCUACGGAUGAAAGCAGGGGAUCGCAAGACCUUGCGCGAAUGGAGCGGCCGAUGGCAGAUUAGGUAGUUGGUGGGGUAAAGGCUCACCAAGCCAACGAUCUGUAGCUGGUCUGAGAGGACGACCAGCCACACUGGGACUGAGACACGGCCCAGACUCCUANGGGAGGCAGCAGUGGGGAAUUUUGGACAAUGGGCGCAAGCCUGAUCCAGCCAUGCCGCGUGCAGGAUGAAGGCCUUCGGGUUGUAAACUGCUUUUGUACGGAACGAAAAGGUUCUUUCUAAUAAAGAGAGCCCAUGACGGUACCGUAAGAAUAAGCACCGGCUAACUACGUGCCAGCAGCCGCGGUAAU
rnacentral:rRNA from 1 species